UACGAGGGGGGCGAGCGUUGUUCGGAAUUAUUGGGCGUAAAGGGUGCGUAGGCGGUUUGGUAAGUCUUGUGUGAAAUCUCCAGGCUCAACUUGGAGUCUGCACGAGAAACUGCCGGGCUUGAGUGUGGGAGAGGUGAGUGGAAUUCCUGGUGUAGCGGUGAAAAUGCGUAGAUAUCAGGAGGAACACCUGUGGCGAAAGCGGCUCACUGGACCACAACUGACGCUGAUGCACGAAAGCUAGGGGAGCAAACAGG
rnacentral:rRNA from 1 species